rnacentral:rRNA from 1 species
GACGAACGCUGGCGGCGUGCUUAACACAUGCAAGUCGAACGGAAAGGCCCUGCUUUUGUGGGGUGCUCGAGUGGCGAACGGGUGAGUAACACGUGAGUAACCUGCCCUUGACUUUGGGAUAACUUCAGGAAACUGGGGCUAAUACCGGAUAGGAGCUCCUGCUGCAUGGUGGGGGUUGGAAAGUUUCGGCGGUUGGGGCUGGACUCGCGGCUUAUCAGCUUGUUGGUGGGGUAGUGGCUUACCAAGGCUUUGACGGGUAGCCGGCCUGAGAGGGUGACCGGCCACAUUGGGACUGAGAUACGGCCCAGACUCCUACGGGAGGCAGCAGUGGGGAAUAUUGCACAAUGGGCGGAAGCCUGAUGCAGCAACGCCGCGUGCGGGAUGAUGGCCUUCGGGUUGUAAACCGCUUUCGCCUGUGACGAAGCGUGAGUGACGGUAAUGGGUAAAGAAGCACCGGCUAACUACGUG